UCUACGGGAGGCAGCAGUAGGGAAUCUUUCACAAUGGGCGAAAGCCUGAUGGAGCAACGCCGCGUGCAGGAUGACGGCCUUCGGGUUGUAAACUGCUUUUAUAACCGAGAAAUAUGAUGGUAAGUUAUGAAUAAGGACCGGCUAACUACGUGCCAGCAGCCGCGGUAAUGUCAUACGUAGGGUCCAAGCAUUAUCCGGAUUGACUGGGU
rnacentral:rRNA from 1 species